UACAGAGGGUGCGAGCGUUGUCCGGAAUCACUGGGCGUAAAGGGCGCGUAGGUGGCCUGAUAAGUAGGGGGUGAAAUCUCGAGGCUCAACUUCGAGGCUGCCUUCUAAACUGUCGGGCUUGAGCAGAGUAGAGGCAGGUGGAAUUCCCGGUGUAGCGGUGGAAUGCGUAGAGAUCGGGAAGAACAUCGGUGGCGAAGGCGGCAUCCUGGACCGACAUUGACGCUGAUGAGCGAAAGCUAGGGGAGCAAACGGG
rnacentral:rRNA from 1 species